rnacentral:rRNA from 1 species
AUACGGAGGAUGCAAGCGUUAUCCGGAUUUAUUGGGUUUAAAGGGUGCGUAGGCGGAUGAUUAAGCGUGAGGUGAAAUGCCACUGCUCAACAGUGGAACUGCCUCGCGAACUGGUCGUCUUGAAUGCUCCUGCCGUGGGAGGAAUGUGUGGUGUAGCGGCGAAAUGCAUAGAGAUCACACAGAACACCGAUUGCGAAGGCAUCUCACGAAGGGGUGAUUGACGCUGAGGCACGAAAGCGUGGGGAUCAAACAGGAUUAGAUACCCUGGUAGUCCACGCAGUAAACGAUGAUAACUAACCGCUGGGUCGUAGUGAUUCAGUGGCCAAGCGAAAGCGAUAAGUUAUCCACCUGGGGAGUACGACCGCAAGGUUGAAACUCAAAGGAAUUGACGGGG